AGUCGUCCCGCGCGCCGAAUUGCCGUCUCCAUCUCCGUUCGCGAAGCAAAACCGCCGCCGCUCGCCGAACCCAACCGCCACCCUCUCUUUUCUUCUUCAGAUCUAAACCGUCGCGCCCAUCCGCCUGUAACCGUCGUGCCUCUCGCUCACAACCGUCGUGCCUCCCUCGCAAAGCAAAUCGUCGUCCAGAUCUGCCUCGCCGUGAACCAUUGGGCUCAUAUUUGGGUACAUCUUGAUUCAGUGAGCGAAUCCUUGAUUUUCCAAAAGGUUGAAGUGGACUUGAUUUUCCACUUCUUGGGAUUUGAUUCAUUGGAUUUAGUAGAUUGAAGAACUUGCAUAAAAGUGAGGCAAAGGAAAUAAAGGUGGCAAACCGGCGAGGGGCAGGAAGGAAGCGUGAUUGCCAUAGGAAAUG